rnacentral:rRNA from 1 species
UAGUCCACGCUGUAAACGAUGAUCACUCGUUGUUGGCGAUACACUGUCAGCGACCAAGCGAAAGCAUUAAGUGAUCCACCUGGGGAGUACGGUCGCAAGAUUGAAACUCAAAGGAAUUGACGGGGGCCCGCACAAGCGGUGGAGCAUGUGGUUUAAUUCGAUGAUACGCGAGGAACCUUACCAAGGCUUAAAUGUACUACGAUCCCCUGGGAAACCGGGGUUUUCUUCGGAACGAAGUACAAGGUGCUGCAUGGUUGUCGUCAGCUCGUGCCGUGAGGUGUCGGGUUAAGUCCCAUAACGAGCGCAACCCCUAUUCUUAGUUGCCAGCGAGUAAUGUCGGGAACUCUAAGAAAACUGCCCGUGCAAACGGUGAGGAAGGUGGGGAUGACGUCAAAUCAUCACGGCCCUUACGUCUUGGGCUACACACGUGCUACAAUGGCCGGUACAGAGGGCAGCUACCUGGUGACAGGAUGUAAAUCUCGAAAGCCGGUACUCAGUUCGGAUUGAAGUCUGCAACUCGACUU